AAUUAUUAAUAUUCUGAAAGAAAGAGAUUCUUAUUCAUAAAUAUGUGACCUUUCUAAAUUAUGAUUUUAUCUGUUGUGUUUUUUCAGUUUUUUUCAGUUUUUUUAUAUACCACAUUGGCUACAUGCGGCUAAACUGGUUUGGUUUACAAUUACCUGCAUUGAGUUAAAUAAAACUGUUACCUCUGUUAUACUCUGUAAGUUGGAUUUAAAUGUGCAUUGGUAUAUUCAUGACAUCUAUGUAAAAAAAACAUUUUACAUUCAAAGUUCCCAAAAAAAAAAGUUUUCCCAGUGUGGUCAACGAGCUUAUUAUCUAUUUCUAUAAACAUCAACUAUCAGAUUUCUAGGGAAAUCGUUUGAGCCUGUUUCAAGAAUUGCGUCUACCCACCCUUUGUCUACCCAGAAAGUUCCAUGAUUGUGUGACUUGAAUAGCGGCACUUUAAAAUAUAUUUUUAAAAAUUCUACAUUUUAUUUAUUCAUUAAUCCUCGGCGAAAGUUUGUGAUGGUGUCAUUGGAAUAAACAUACACAAAGUUAAAAUAAGAAUAGUGCUAACGACACAAUCCUAUAGUCAAAACAAUAAUAAUAAGGAUUAGGUAAUCGUGGAGUAAAUUUUAAAAUGUGUAAAGAGUGUAAUUAUGCGCGAUUGUAACUGUGACUACUAAAUCAAAUUUAUUAUCGGUAAAUGUUUUAUUCCUUUUUAU